UAUUAUUUACUUCCAGUGUCUAACCAUUCUAUUAUCAUAUCUGUAUCUUGGUUAUGAAUAGAUGGUUAACUCCACAAGGCUGAUUACAACUGCAGGUUUCUUUGGGCAGGUCUUCAUUCAGUGUGUAAAGGCCUGCCAAAAAUCCUGUGCCAUAGCUGUGCUGUAAAUAUAUAAGAGCCAGGAAAGAAGAAUGCUAGUUAGGGUGAAUGGAAGCAGUGUGCAAUGAAAAUUCAGCUCACACAAGAGCGCUCCAGCUGGUGUGAAUUGAACAGAGGACUAAGGACUGACAGCCAAAAAAUCUAAAUAUAAAUAAAGAAAAGAGCGCAUGUUUAGGGCCACUGCCUGUUUGUGGUUUUCUGCCUUGUCUGGUGACAGAAGCACUGCAUGUCACUCAAGUAUGUGAUUUUAAUAUGUGCCAUAGUAUGAUGAAAGAAAUUCAAAUUAGGCCUGUGUUACCCAACACAAGCUGCAAAAGGUACGUCAGGUCAAGUACCAAUAUAAAAUGGUCACCUCUGCACUGUCCUCAUUUUUAGGAACACUCAAGCCCGGCCCAGUGGAUCAAAUGGAGUGGGGUGUAACUGGGAACAAAAUCAGCCAGCUGCUGUAAUUCUCCUAUGCCUUCCAAGCACAGUUUAUACAGGGACAAGGCAAGAGGCGGCUUAGACUUUUAUGAAUUCCUGUAUUAACCAGUUCAAUGUACGACUGCAGUUUGCUCUCUCGGGCCAGUGCAAAAGCACUGCCUUUUUGGUGCGCAAUAUUUGUUGAACUAAAAAAAAAGCCCUACGGAUUCAUUAAAACAAUAGGAGUACUGUUCUGUGAGGAGCAGACCCUUCAGUUAACUCAUUAGUUGCAAGGAUGAUCACAAUGCAUGAUUAUUCAUAUAGCUUUCAGAGAGAGAGACUUUCACAUAGUUUAAUCUGCAUUUAUAUGACCACAGUGUAUAUUGGGCAAGCAGGGUAGUCUUGCCAGUGUUUCUAAUGAGGGGUUUUAAGUGUCUAUUUUAAUGCAGCAUGUCCUCGAAGCAGCAGGUUUUAUUUUUCUUUAACAUUUCUACAACUUCAGCAGUGUAACAACUACAUAUAAAUUGUGGGGCUGCAGUUAAUGGCCUGUGUUACUAUGCAAAGAGCUGUUGCAGAACUACAAGUAUCCACAUCACUUGACAGAAUGUAAUAAAAGCAAGUAUCCAAGUAAAAUUUCCACCUAUCCCACCUAAAAAUACAUAUUCCCUAGUUAAUGUAGUGUUUAUUUUAUUUUAAAAUGCAUAAAAAUGUCAUGUAAUUUAUAUAAACUGGCUGAUUAACAAAACUAAAAAAGUAUUCUGUGGCCAACAGCUAUAAUGUUAAAAAUGAAUGCUAUUUAGUAUUCUUAAAAAUUUUCAGGAAAAAAUGUUAAGGGAGCAGCUAAUGGAAAAGCAUUUUUGAUAACGCAUUCCUUUCUUUUAUUUUGCAGACAUUCAUUUUUUGCGGGGGAGCAGGUAGUUGGCAUUUUACCCAUUGGUUGCUGGAUAGUUAACAAAACUCCCAGCAGAGCUCCAAAAAAGAAAAAAAAAAAGCUAAGCGUUUAGUGACUGAGCUGAAACACAGCUCUCAUAUCUAAGAGGGGGAUGGGAGAGGAAAGUACAGUUCACGUCCAAGAGAGAAACUCUGACUUUGGAGGAGGAUCAGGAGCAGAUCACAAGGUUCCUUUGGGGAAAUGUGAGGUUUUUCUAAAUGCUGAUUAAACCUGACUUAUUUUUC